rnacentral:rRNA from 1 species
GAGGGUUAAACUGUCUCCUUUUUCAUAUCAGUGAAACUAAUCUCCCCGUGAAGAAGCGGGGAUAAUUUUAUAAGACGAGAAGACCCCAUGGAGCUUUAAACCCAUCUACACUCCGCUUAACUCUACCUUUAAACCUCUCGGAUCCUGUAUGUUCUGGUUUUAGGUUGGGGUGACCGCGGAGCAUAAACUAACCUCCACAAUGAAUAAAUUUUUUUCUUUAUCUAAGAUUAACACCUCUAAGAAUUAGUAUUCUAACAUAAAAUGAUCCGAUAUUCGAUCAACGAACCAAGUUACCCUGGGGAUAACAGCGCAAUCUACUUCAAGAGCCCCUAUCGACAAGUAGGUUUACGACCUCGAUGUUGGAUCAGGGUAUCCCAGUGGUGC